GACAGAGGGUGCAAACGUUGCUCGGAAUUACUGGGCGUAAAGGGCGCGUAGGCGGCACUGUUAGUCAGGCGUGAAAUUCCUGGGCUCAACCUGGGGACUGCGCUUGAUACGGCAGAGCUUGAGGAUGGAAGAGGGUCGCGGAAUUCCCAGUGUAGAGGUGAAAUUCGUAGAUAUUGGGAAGAACACCGGUGGCGAAGGCGGCGACCUGGUCCAUUACUGACGCUGAGGCGCGACAGCGUGGGGAGCAAACAGG
rnacentral:rRNA from 1 species